rnacentral:rRNA from 1 species
GACGAACGCUGGCGGCGUGCUUAACACAUGCAAGUCGAACGGAAAGGCCCUGCUUUUGUGGGGUGCUCGAGUGGCGAACGGGUGAGUAACACGUGAGUAACCUGCCCUUGACUUUGGGAUAACUUCAGGAAACUGGGGCUAAUACCGGAUAGGAGCUCCUGCUGCAUGGUGGGGGUUGGAAAGUUUCGGCGGUUGGGGAUGGACUCGCGGCUUAUCAUCUUGUUGGUGGGGUUGUGGCUUACCAAGGCUUUGACGGGUAGCCGGCCUGGGAGGGUGACCGGCAACAUUGGGACAGAGAUACGGCCCAGAGAGAAAAGGGAGGCAGGAGGGGGGAAAAUUGAAAAAAGGGCGGAAGCCUGAUGGAGGAACGCCGCGUGCGGGAUGACGGCCUUCGGGUUGAAAACCGCUUUCGAGUGAGACGAAGCGUGAGUGACGGAAAUGGGUAAAGAAGCACCGGCUAACUACGU